UUUCUCUGAGCAAGCCGUGUCAGUGCCUCACCACCCUCAAAGAAGAUAAUUUCUUCCUAAUACCUAAAAUAAACCCACCCUCUUUCAGUUUGAAGCCUCCGCCCUUUGUCCUAUCACUACCUUUCCUUGUAAAAUAUUCCUCUCCAACUUUCUUGUAUCUUUCUUUUCCUAUGGGACCAGCCAUCAAUUCUCUUCCCAGUGCUUUUUUCCACAUCACCGUAUCAUGUCAUCUAACAUCCUCUUCACUGGUAACAUCCCAUCCCAUUCCAUUCCAUCCCAUCCCCCCGGAGUUGGGCUCACAGCCCCAGGGUCCCAUCCAAGCAGGGGUUUGUCACGCCCAGCCCCAAAUGUGAGGGCAACCCAGGUUCUUGUUAACAGAUCCCUUGGGGUGGAUUAGAGUGAAAGGACAUUGGAUGAUCAGUGUUUGUAAAGAUAUGUAUAUAGGUAGGGUUUAUUUUAGAACAAUUUGGUUGCAAAGGAAAGCAGGCAUGUAGCCGUUUUGCUUACUGUUAUCUACAGCAAUAUGUCAACAUGAAAACAUAAAAAUAUCACUCAAAAAUGUGCAAGGGAAAAGAAACAGAAAGAAACGGUAAGAGUAGAAACAUAUCACCACCCAUGGAUCUCGCGGCAAGACUCGAUUGUUGCCAUUUAGUGUCCCUGGGUCAAAGUGAUGAUCACAGUCUUGAUCUGUUCAGGGUGGGGAAAAAAGCCCGUCAAACACCAAGUCCGAAGGGUUCAAAUACACUCAGACUCCAGGCACCUCCCCUGGGCUUGAGUUUUCAGUCCUCUGGAGAAAGGCCUUAGAAAUGGGUCUGGGGGCACUUUGGGGGUCUUUGAUGGUUUGUGACACCUUCUGAGACAUGACAGCUGCCUCUCACAUCAGCGCAGUUGAGCCAGGAAUGCCCCAUCAGGAGGGAUGAAAACCCUCAGGACCUUUCCCAGGAGAAGGUGUGGGGGGAGUUUUACAGCUGAUUUAUGUCAGGGAGGGCAGCUGGCAUGAUGAAAAGCACCAUCCCACCUCACAGGAUCUGCCUCUUAUCGGCCUCAAAGCCCGGCUUGUAGCCCACGGUGGUGAUUGUUCAGCCCCUCUGGCUGAUGCAGCCCGGAGGUUUGCCAUCACACACCCAAAAACUCACCUCCUCCCCCUCUGGGGGUGCAAAGCACCCUGCCGCCUCCACAAAUGGGCCAUUGUUUUGAGUCAUUAACCAUUAACAUUUCAGUCUCUCGCAGGGCUGGCUGAUUGCAGGACCUGAUGCCUUCCCACCAGGCAUGAGUGGUAACCUUCCCCCGUGGACACUCUUGACACACCACGUCACACCUGAAAGGCAUCUUCUUCAUAAGCAUAUGGAGGUCUGGUAUGAAUACCAGAGUGGAAAGCUGCUACCUUCCGACAGAGCCACAUAUAAGGAAUGUCACGGUGAAAAGUUUUCAGGACACUCUGUGAGCUGGGCUGGCUCCAUCCUGCAGACAGAAGUUAUUCCAGCUUUCCAUGUGGACAGUCACAGCUGAGGAAGGGUUGGUUAUCUCUGAUGGACACGGCAGCUGGAGGAGGUGUCUGCAACCCGGGAUAACUGGCAACAGAAGCAAA